UACGUAGGGGGCAAGCGUUGUCCGGAAUCAUUGGGCGUAAAGAGCGUGUAGGCGGCCCGGUAAGUCCGCCGUGAAAGUCCAGGGCUCAACCCUGGGAUGCCGGUGGAAACUGUCGGGCUCGAGUCCGGAAGAGGCGAGUGGAAUUCCUGGUGUAGCGGUGAAAUGCGCAGAUAUCAGGAGGAACACCAAUGGCGAAGGCAGCUCGCUGGGACGGUACCGACGCUGAGACGCGAAAGCGUGGGGAGCGAACAGG
rnacentral:rRNA from 1 species